GAUGAACGCUGGCGGCGUGCCUAAUACAUGCAAGUCGAACGAAACUUCUUUAUCACCGAGUGCUUGCACUCACCGAUAAAGAGUUGAGUGGCGAACGGGUGAGUAACACGUGGGCAACCUGCCCAAAAGAGGGGGAUAACACUUGGAAACAGGUGCUAAUACCGCAUAACCAUAGUUACCGCAUGGUAACUAUGUAAAAGGUGGCUAUGCUACCGCUUUUGGAUGGGCCCGCGGCGCAUUAGCUAGUUGGUAGGGUAAAGGCUUACCAAGGCAAUGAUGCGUAGCCGAAUUGAGAGGUUGAUCGGCCACAUUGGGACUGAGACACGGCCCAAACUCCUACGGGAGGCAGCAGUAGGGAAUCUUCCACAAUGGGCGAAAGCCUGAUGGAGCAACGCCGCGUGGGUGAAGAAGGUCUUCGGAUCGUAAAACCCUGUUGUUAGAGAAGAAAGUGCGUGAGAGUAACUGUUCACGUUUCGACGGUAUCUAACCAGAAAGCCACUGCUAACUACGUG
rnacentral:rRNA from 1 species